rnacentral:rRNA from 1 species
UACGGGGGGAGCAAGCGUUGUUCGGAUUUACUGGGCGUAAAGGGCGCGUAGGCGGCGUGACAAGUCACUUGUGAAAUCUCCGGGCUUAACCCGGAGCGGUCAAGUGAUACUGUCGUGCUAGAGUGCGGAAGGGGCUACUGGAAUUCUCGGUGUAGCGGUGAAAUGCGUAGAUAUCGAGAGGAACACCUGCGGCGAAGGCGGGUAGCUGGGCCGACACUGACGCUCAUGCACGAAAGCGUGGGGAGCAAACAGG